UAGGGAAUCUUCGGCAAUGGACGGAAGUCUGACCGAGCAACGCCGCGUGAGUGAGGAAGGUUUUCGGAUCGUAAAACUCUGUUGCCAGGGAAGAAAGCGUGAGAGAGUAACUGCUCUGAUGUUGACGGUACCUGGGUAGAAAGCCCCGGCUAACUACGUGCCAGCAGCCGCGGUAAUACGUAGGGGGCAAGCGUUGUCCGGAAUUAUUGGGCGUAAAGCGCGCGCAGGCGGCCGCAUCAGUCGGGUGUAUAACCCCCGGGCUUAACCUGGGGUGGCACCGGAUACUGUGGGGCUGGAGUGCAGGAGAGGAAAGUGGAAUUCCACGUGUAGCGGUGAAAUGCGUAGAGAUGUGGAGGAACACCAGUGGCGAAGGCGACUUUCUGGCCUGAAACUGACGCUGAGGCGCGAAAGCGUGGGGAGCAAACA
rnacentral:rRNA from 1 species